rnacentral:rRNA from 1 species
AGAGUUUGAUCAUGGCCCAGGACGAACGCUGGCGGCACGCUCAACACAUGCAAGUCGAACGAGAGAAGAGGAGCUUGCUUUUCUGUUCUAGUGGCGGACGGGUGAGUAACACGUGAGCAAUCUGCCUUUCAGAGGGGGAUACCGAUUGGAAACGAUCGUUAAUACCGCAUAACAUAAUUGAACCGCAUGAUUUGAUUAUCAAAGAUUUAUCGCUGAAAGAUGAGCUCGCGUCUGAUUAGCUAGUUGGUAAGGUAACGGCUUACCAAGGCGACGAUCAGUAGCCGGACUGAGAGGUUGAUCGGCCACAUUGGGACUGAGACACGGCCCAGACUCCUACGGGAGGCAGCAGUGGGGAAUAUUGCACAAUGGAGGAAACUCUGAUGCAGCGAUGCCGCGUGAGGGAAGAAGGUUUUAGGAUUGUAAACCUCUGUCUUCAGGGACGAAAAAAGACGGUACCUGAGGAGGAAGCUCCGGCUAACUACGUGCCAGCAGCCGCGGUAAUACGUAGGGAGCGUGCGUUGUCCGGAAUUACUGGGUGUAAAGGGAGCGUAGGCGGGAUCGCAAGUCAGAUGUGAAAACUAUGGGCUUAACCCAUAAACUGCAUUUGAAACUGUGGUUCUUGAGUGAAGUAGAGGUAAGCGGAAUUCCUAGUGUAGCGGUGAAAUGCGUAGAUAUUAGGAGGAACAUCAGUGGCGAAGGCGGCUUACUGGGCUUUAACUGACGCUGAGGCUCGAAAGCGUGGGGAGCAAACAGGAUUAGAUACCCUGGUAGUCCACGCCGUAAACGAUGAUUACUAGGUGUGGGGGGACUGACCCCUUCCGUGCCGCAGCAAACGCAAUAAGUAGUCCACCUGGGGAGUACGACCGCAAGGUUGAAACUCAAAGGAAUUGACGGGGGCCCGCACAAGCAGUGGAGUAUGUGGAUUAAUUCGAAGCAACGCGAAGAACCUUACCAGGUCUUGACAUCGUAUGCAUAGCUCAGAGAUGAGUGAAAUCUCUUCGGAGACAUAUAGACAGGUGGUGCAUGGUUGUCGUCAGCUCGUGUCGUGAGAUGCUGGGUUAAGUCCCGCAACGAGCGCAACCCUUACUGUUAGUUGCUACGCAAGAGCACUCUAGCAGGACUGCCGUUGACAAAACGGAGGAAGGUGGGGAUGACGUCAAAUCAUCAUGCCCCUUAUGACCUGGGCCUCACACGUACUACAAUGGCUGUCAACAGAGGGAAGCAAAGCCGCGAGGUGGAGCGAACCCCUAAAAGCAGUCUUAGUUCGGAUUGUAGGCUGCAACCCGCCUACAUGAAGUCGGAAUUGCUAGUAAUCGCAGAUCAGCAUGCUGCGGUGAAUACGUUCCCGGGCCUUGUACACACCGCCCGUCACGCCAUGGGAGUCGGUAACACCCGAAGCCUGUAGUCUAACCGCAAGGAGGACGCAGUCG